rnacentral:lncRNA from 10 species
UGCCAUGUGAUUUCUGCACAGACCUGCUCGCUUUCAUUUUCCCUGAGUGGAAAAGCCUGAAGCUUUCAUGAGAUGCCCAGUCUUCUGGCCAGCAGAAUUGUGAGCCAAAAUGGACUGUUUUUCUUUAUAAAUUACCCAGUCCCAGGAUUCAUGACUACAACCCCAAAAUACGGCACUUCUGCCUGUGUGGAAACAACAGAAGCAGGAAGAUUACUCUCAUUUUUCUCUGGCCUUUUUCCCUUGAAGCAGACUAUAAAGAAGAAUCUGACCUUCCUCUGAAGGAAACCUUCAUUCCAGACAUACCCUCCCUAUAUCCAAAGAACAUCUUUAUCUUUAAAGACACAGAGAUGUCAAGAAGAAUCUGAACAAACAGGCUUUGCCAGAUCCCCCAGUUUACUAAUAUUGAACCAUACUCUUUUGUUCUUCAAUCAUACUUCUGCAUGAUGUCCAUAAAAAUACACAGUUUUCCCCAUUCCUUUUGGGUAUUUAUUCCCGAAAGCUUCUGUGUCAUGUAAAACUUACAUUAAAUAAAUUUGUAUGCUUUU